GGGGGAUAUUGCACAAUGGAGGAAACUCUGAUGCAGCAACGCCGCGUGAGGGAAGAAGGUCUUCGGAUUGUAAACCUUAGUAGUCAGGGACGAAAGAAAUGACGGUACCUGAAGAGUAAGCUCCGGCUAACUACGUGCCAGCAGCCGCGGUAAUACGUAGGGAGCGAGCGUUGUCCGGAUUUACUGGGUGUAAAGGGUGCGUAGGCGGGACUGCAAGUCAGACGUGAAAUACCGAGGCUUAACUUCGGGGCUGCGUUUGAAACUGUGGUUCUUGAGUGAAGUAGAGGCAGGCGGAAUUCCUAGUGUAGCGGUGAAAUGCGUAGAUAUUAGGAGGAACACCAGUGGCGAAGGCGGCCUGCUGGGCUUUAACUGACGCUGAAGCACGAAAGCAUGGGGAGCAAACA
rnacentral:rRNA from 1 species